rnacentral:rRNA from 1 species
GACGAACGCUGGCGGCGUGCUUAACACAUGCAAGUCGAACGGAAAGGCCCUGCUUUUGUGGGGUGCUCGAGUGGCGAACGGGUGAGUAACACGUGAGUAACCUGCCCUUGACUUUGGGAUAACUUCAGGAAACUGGGGCUAAUACCGGAUAGGAGCUCCUGAUGCAUGGUGGGGGUUGGAAAGUUUCGGCGGUUGGGGAUGGACUGGCGGCUUAUCAGCUUGUUGGUGGGGUAGUGGCUUACCAAGGCUUUGACGGGUAGCCGGCCUGAGAGGGUGACCGGCCACAUUGGGACUGAGAUACGGCCCAGACUCCUACGGGAGGCAGCAGUGGGGAAUAUUGCACAAUGGGCGGAAGCCUGAUGCAGCAACGCCGCGUGCGGGAUGACGGCCUUCGGGUUGUAAACCGCUUUCGCCUGUGACGAAGCGUGAGUGACGGUAAUGGGUAAAGAAGCACCGGCUAACUACGUG